UACAGAGGUCCCAAGCGUUGUUCGGAUUCAUUGGGCGUAAAGGGUGCGUAGGCGGCGCGGCAAGUCGGGUGUGAAAUCUCGGGGCUUAACUCCGAAACUGCAUUCGAUACUGCCGUGCUUGAGGACUGGAGAGGAGACUGGAAUUUACGGUGUAGCGGUGAAAUGCGUAGAUAUCUGGAGGAACACCGGUGGCGAAGGCGGCAUCCUGGACCGGCAUUGACGCUGAGGCGCGAAAGCCAGGGGAGCAAACGGG
rnacentral:rRNA from 1 species